rnacentral:rRNA from 1 species
GUAAGGAAUAUUGGGCAAUGGACGCAAGUCUGACCCAGCCAUGCCGCGUGCAGGAUGACAGCCCUACGGGUUGUAAACUGCUUUUGUACGGGAAAAACCCCUCGCUCGUGAGCGGGGCUGAUGGUACCGUAAGAAUAAGGAUCGGCUAACUCCGUGCCAGCAGCCGCGGUAAUACGGAGGAUCCAAGCGUUAUCCGGAUUCAUUGGGUUUAAAGGGUCCGCAGGCGGAUUAAUAAGUCAGGGGUGAAAUCCUACGGCUCAACCGUAGAACUGCCCUUGAUACUGUUAAUCUAGAGUACAGUUGAGGUGGGCGGAAUGUGUCAUGUAGCGGUGAAAUGCAUAGAUAUGACACAGAACACCGAUCGCGAAGGCAGCUCACCAAGCUGUAACUGACGCUCAGGGACGAAAGCGUGGGGAUCAAACAGGAUUAGAAACCCGUGUAGUCC